UUUUUAAAUACUUGAAAGGCACUGGACUUAUUGAGAGGAUUUAAUACUGCUAUAACAGACUGAUGCAGAAGGUGGCAGCAAAGCAACAAUAAGAAUGCUGGCUGCUGUUAUAUGCCACAGAAGGAGGAAAGAUGCUUUUAAUUUU